rnacentral:rRNA from 1 species
UACGUAGGGUGCAAGCGUUGUCCGGAAUUAUUGGGCGUAAAGAGCUCGUAGGCGGUGUGUCACGUCGGCCGUGAAAACCUGCAGCUUAACUGUGGGCGUGCGGUCGAUACGGGCAUCACUGGAGUUCGGCAGGGGAGACUGGAAUUCCUGGUGUAGCGGUGAAAUGCGCAGAUAUCAGGAGGAACACCGGUGGCGAAGGCGGGUCUCUGGGCAACAACUGACGCUGGAGGAGCGAAAGCGUGGGGAGCAAACAGG